UCAUAUAAUUUUUAAACUAUAAGGACUAAAAUAGCAAUUUCACCAAACCAAAAGGACUAAACAUUAAUCUUUAGCCGGGACUCUAGAAAGCACUUGAAAAACAAAUCCCUCGAAAUCUCGAUCAAAAUCAAAGAAUUCAAAAUUCUCGAAGAAGGAUUCAAAUGGCAUCAUCUUCAUCUUCAUCUUCUUCUUCAACAUCGAGCAGUGGAUUAACACUCAAGCUUCAUCCACUGGUUAUUGUCAACAUAUCGGAUCACUACACACGUGUCAAGUCCCAAGCUCAAGCCCCAACCACCAACGCCAUUGCCAUUGCCAUUGCCGACGUCACCGCCACUUCUUCUUCACCUAGGGUUUUUGGUUGGUAAUCAGAGUUCAACGAGGACGUACCGUCGAGAUCUUCAAUAGUUUCGAGCUUCUCUAUGAUCCUUCAACUCAUUCACUCGAUCGUUCCUUCCUCGAAAAGAAGCAAGAGCUCUGUCAGUAUAUAACCUUCGAUCUAUGAUAUAUGGUUUCUGUUAUCACGCUGGUUUUGGUUUUCCCAAUUUUUACAUACUUGGAUGGUAUUCCACUGGAGGUAAUGCAGAAGAAUUGGAUAUGCACAUACACAAAGCUGUGAGUAGUAAUGUCCCUUAUGUGAAAACUUCAAAUGGUGAAAAUUUCAUUUGAAUAUCUAUCUACACACACACACACAUAUAUAUACAUUGUGAUAACCGUAGAACUUUUAUUUUUAAGUAUUGUUUCGCAUGAAUUUUUCCAUCUAAGGCUAGUAUAUAAUUCAUUGAUUAACAUAUAUUCAUUUUGCAAUGAGUUUGUUUCAUAUGUAUCUGGUUCAUAACGUGAAACCUGUAUUUUUUUUUUUUGUUUCACGAGCACGCCAAAAAGUUUCGUGUUGUGAAACAUAUAUAUGUUAGUCAAUACCCUAAAUUUUAGCCUUAGAUGUAAAAAAUCAUAUGAAAUAACAUAUGAUGCACCGGUUCUCAGGCUUCUUGCAAUCUUGUAGGUUCUCAAAUGGUUAGCCUCCUAUAUAUGUGUAUGUAUGUAUGUAUUCACUUAGUUUAUGUGUAAAGACCAUGGUGGUGGAUUAUUUUGCAACAGUUGAUGGAUAUCAAUUAAAGCCCUUCAUAUGUUCUUUUGAAUCCUUCAAUCAAUCAUGCACAGAAGGACCUCCCUGUAACUAUUUACGAGAGUGAGUUGCAUGUUAUUGAUGGGAUUCCACAGCUUAUUUUUGUACACUCAAGCUACACUAUAAGGGUUUGCUCUAAAAUGCUUAUUUUGGUAUUCUUUUCUCUCUAGAAAGAUUUAGUUUAUGUUUAUGAAUAUGUUCUUAUAUUGCUCAAUGGUAGAAGCAGAAAGGGUCUCAGUGACCAUGUUGCACAUCUGAAACCAUCCGAUGGAGGUUCAGCUGCCACUCAAUGUGAGGCCUAUGAUUCCGUCACCUAUAGUAUGAAAUUCCCUAAAUAUGACUUUAUCAUCGAUAAUCUCUGUUUUCAGCGGUAUGUGAAAACUUUGAUCGUUUAAUGUAUUAUUGUAGUGGCUGUGCACUUGAUGGGAAUACAUAGUGCUAUCAAGAUGCUUAAUAGCAGAAUCUGAGUGCUUCAUCACUUUCUUCAUGCUAUGCAAAGAGGAAUAUAAUGACACACUAUUCAUUAGUUAUGUGGGCAUGUUCACCAACUGCUCAAGCACGAUCAACGAUCUGGUUAUGACAAGCCUACUCGGAGAACAAACUUUCAUAUGAAAGUUGCUUGAAUCAUACAUCAAAAGUGUUAGUCCCAAACGUUGAUUGACCACCGUCACAUUGGUCGGAAAACAUAGGAAGUGCUGCUGUAUCAUCUUGCUUAUGGGCUAACAGGCCUUGCUUGCAUGACGGUGUUUCAUUGUGAGAUAUAUGGAACACGACCCUGAAAUUUUUGGGUCCAAUUAUUGUAUUUUAGGUUUUUAUCUUUUGGCCGAUUUGAUGAUUCAUGGUUCCGUUUUUCAAAGAAUGCUAGGAGAACGAUCUUAUUCUAAGUGAUUACUUGUCUCAAAAUAAACGUCCAUUUGGAAAAUAAGUUUUCAAUGUCCCAUUCUACCCUUGAUCAUCAAGAUUAAUAAUAUCAUUUGGCUAUUUAAAGGGUAAUAUUUACACAUAUGUAUCACUUAAGGAAUAUAAUAUAUGGUAUAGAUUUUUGUUAUUUUGGUUAUAUUUAUUACUUGUUCGGUCGUCUAUAAUUUCAAUACUGUGGCGGUGAAUAUGACACCCACAAUCCAAAACUCAUGAUUUCCAGAGGUUCAUUUAGCAUUUUAAUUUGUGAUUUCAAGCAGACAUGCAGUUUUCACUUUUAUACAUUAACCGUAUAUUUGUUAGAACAAUAACCUUUUGACAGGCUUACGAAAUAUUUGCAGAAAGGUUACAAUAAUG